UACGAAGGGGGCGAGCGUUGUUCGGAAUCACUGGGCGUAAAGCGUGCGCAGGCGGUUUUGUAAGUCAGAUGUGAAAUCCCCGGGCUUAACCUGGGAACUGCGUUUGAAACUACAAGGCUAGAGUGUGACAGAGGGGGGUGGAAUUCCACGUGUAGCAGUGAAAUGCGUAGAGAUGUGGAGGAACACCGAUGGCGAAGGCAGCCCCCUGGGUUAACACUGACGCUCAGGCACGAAAGCGUGGGGAGCAAACAGG
rnacentral:rRNA from 1 species